rnacentral:rRNA from 1 species
AGAGAUAACCGCUGAAAGCAUCUAAGUGGGAAACUCGCUCCAAGAUUAGAUCCCUCAUCCCGCUAAGGGAGUAAGGUCGCAGGAAGACUACCUGCUUGAUAGGCGGCAAGUGUAAGCACAGCAAUGUGUUGAGCUAAGCCGUUACUAAUGACCGAGGACUUAACUUG